CUACUGUGUGUAAACUGAAACCUCACAGGAAGGUAAUAUGCACAUUCUGCCAGCAACAGCCUUACACAUCUUCAUUUGCCACAUUUCCUGAUUGCAUCAGGAGGCUCUGGGGAGUGACCAUGCAGGUUUGGACAGAGUCUUGCUAUGGUGCCCAGGGUGGCCUUCAACUCCUGAUCCUCCAGUCUCAAUCUCCAAAGAAAAACAUCUUUGCAUUUGAGUCACAUGUGCAGAUCCCUCAGCAGUAUAUGAGGAAAAUCAAGAAGAUGGAAAUGUGGAUAUCACCCAGCAAGAUGAGAGCAUUUCCGCUUUUGCUAUCAUAACAUUUAUCAGAGGAUUUACCAAUCCAGUUUCCUUAGAUUACUAAAUACUGAAAGCAUCUGCUUCGAAAGAUAUGCUCACAAAUGAAGAUCAUCUCAAAAAGGAAAAGCAGCUACCCCUCGGUCGUCGGACAGGGAAGAGGGAACCUCAACUAAGAAAACAAGCCCAGAAGAUUGGCCUGCGGGCAAGUCUGCCAUGCGAUUUCUUGAUUAACGGUUGUGGUCCAGAGUUGUACAAGAAAGCAGACCGACCAAGCCAUGAAGAGCAAGCCAGUGAGCAGCCCUCCUCCAUCUUCAGUCUUGAGUUUGCCCUCACUUCCCUCAGUGAUGGAGUAUAACC